rnacentral:rRNA from 1 species
UACGAAGGGGGCUAGCGUUGCUCGGAAUUACUGGGCGUAAAGCGCACGUAGGUGGUCUUUUAAGUCGGGGGUGAAAUCCUGGAGCUCAACUCCAGAACUGCCUUCGAUACUGGAAGACUCGAGUCCGGGAGAGGUGAGUGGAACUGCGAGUGUAGAGGUGAAAUUCGUAGAUAUUCGCAAGAACACCAGUGGCGAAGGCGGCUCACUGGCCCGGUACUGACGCUGAGGUGCGAAAGCGUGGGGAGCAAACAGG